UACGUAGGGUGCAAGCGUUAUCCGGAAUUAUUGGGCGUAAAGAGCUCGUAGGCGGUUUGUCGCGUCUGCUGUGAAAACUGGAGGCUCAACCUCCAGCCUGCAGUGGGUACGGGCAAACUAGAGUGCGGUAGGGGAGAUUGGAAUUCCUGGUGUAGCGGUGGAAUGCGCAGAUAUCGGGAAGAACACCCGUGGCGAAGGCGGCUCUCUGGAACGCAACUGACGCUGAGACGCGAAAGCGUGGGGAGCAAACAGG
rnacentral:rRNA from 1 species